GAUGGUAUGAGAGUAGUGGACAGAAGGGA
rnacentral:piRNA from 1 species